ensembl:lncRNA
CUUUCAUUGCAUUAAUACAUUUAAUAGAAUUAGAUAAACUGAUAAAUUGAUAAAAGUGAAUUUUUUUCCUUAGAAAAAUCAAACUGCACAAACACACACUCAUACACACCCCCUCCACGACACACACCUCCACAAACUCUCCACCACACACACACACACACACACACACACACUCCAGGAGACACACACAUUCCCUCCUCAACACACACACUUCCUCCCUGACACACACACACACACUCCUCAACACACACCCCUCGACACACACUCCUCGACAAAUACAUACACAGUCCUUGACACACACACUCCUUCCUUGAACACACACAAUCCUCGGAGGACACACACACACACAGACUCCUCGACACACACUCACACACAGACACAUACACUCCUCACAUACACACACUCCUCACACUCACACACACACCCCGUCCCUCCUCGACACACACUCCUCACACACACACACACCCCAUCCCUCCUCGACACACACUCCUCACACUCACACACAGUCCCUCCUCGACACACACUCCUCACACACACACACACACAGUCCCUCCUCGACACACACUCCUCACACUCACACACACACAGUCCCUCCUCGACACACACUCCUCACACUCACACACACACCCCGUCCCUCCUCGACACACACACUCCUCACACACACACACCCCGUCCCUCCUCGACACACACUCCUCACACACACACGUGACAUAGGUGAGCAGAGCUGAAACUGAGAGGUCAGGAAACCACAAAUGCAGGAUUCAGUUUCUGUUUUGUCACUUUCUGUGUUGUUUUUUCAGGGAGGAACUUUUCUGUGAUGAAUAAAACUGUUUAAAACUUCAAAACUGUCAAAGUAAAACCAAAGUCUUAAAGUUUGUCUAAACUUGACGAGACGCCACAAAUAUUCAUUUUUAUGCUCCUCGUGCUCUGAAGUGUGUGUGUGUGUGUGUGUGUGUGUGUGUCCGACUGGGCUGACCUGCACCUGUUGGUGAGUUGCCCCGUGUGCGUGGCCCUGUGUGCGUGGCCCGUGUCUGUAGCCCUGUGUGCGUGGCCUUGUGUGUGUGUGGCCCGUGUGUGUAGCCCUGUGUGCGUGGCCCCGUGUGUGUAGCCCUGUGUGCGUGGCCUUGUGUGCGUGGCCCUGUGUGCGUGGCCCCGUGUGUGUAGCCCUGUGUGCGUGGCUCUGUGUGUGUGUGGCUCUGUGUGUGUGGCUCUGUGUGCGUGGCCCCGUGUGCGUGGCUCUGUGUGUGCUUUUGUCUGUGUGCGUAGGGACACCUGUAGAGGUCACACGUGAGCCGCAUCUCCACAGAUCAGAGCCGGAGGAAGAGCAGAGGAACAGACACCGAGCCCAGAGACGCCAGCCCAGAGACGCGGGUCCAAACCGGGGGCCACCGCGGCGGAAAACACCCCCACACGUCCCACUUGAAUCUGCCACUUUCAUUUUACUUUCAUUCGAUGCUAAUCCGUG